GAAAAGAAUCCAGAAUCCUGACAUGGACUACGUACAAGUUUUGGAAAUAAAUUCCACAGGUCCUGUGUGCUGUGUAUAAUAGGCAACAAAAUAGGUGAAAGAGGAAUAUCAAGAAGGUCCAUGGCUGUACUGAAAUUUUAUGAACCCCAGGGAGAAACAUAAGAAGCAAGAACUAGCAUAAUCUGGAAGGAAAAGUAAUCCAUAGCAAAGGCAGUGAUCUAUGAAAGCCUAUCAGCUUGUUUAUAUAAAAUUACGGCUGAGUCUUUUGGCCCAUACAAGACAGCAACAGCUUGGAUCUUUGGCAUUGUCACUUUGCACAGAGAAAUCAAAGGCAAUCCUCGAGCUACAGAACCAUAACCUUGCUAGAAGUAUCAAAGUAAAUCCACAUGAUGAAAAUAGAAAAACCAAGCGCAGAAACUAUGUCACAGAAAACCUUGUUCCCACUAAGGAAUGAGAGGUGAAGCUCCAAGGUGUUAGAUCUAGUACACAGUGAUCUGUAUGGGCCACUUAAGAGUCACCUGUCUACCGAAGGAGAAGAGUGAGACAUGUAAGAUGCUGAAGAGGUACAUGGCUAUGGUUAAGCAACAAGCCAGAAAACAAACUCAAGGCACUUCAGACAGACCAAAGGGCUGAGAAUACCUCUUGUACCACAUACACAAGCCUUCCUGGAGGAUGGAGGCAUUUUGCACAGGAGGAACGUCACACAUACUCCUGAGCAGAAUGGAACAGCUGCAAGGAAGCUAAGAUAUCUUUUGGAAGAUGCAUGCUUGAAGAUGCAGAUUUGCCCAACGGACUCUGGGGUGAUGCAGUCAUGACUCCAAUUUAUCUCCAAAAGGGAUUGCCAACCAAAGGCCCCACAAAAACACCAAUUGAAUUAAGGCAUGAGUGCCAAGUGUGGAACACACCAGAGUUUUUGGGAGCCUGGCACAUAUGUACAUACCAAAACAGAAAAUACACAAACUGGACUCUUGAACAGAACAGAAUUUGAUGGGCUAUGUUCCUGGCAGCAAAGGCUAAAAAUCAUGAACAUGAAAACAGGUGAGGCCAGCAUAAGACAUGUGAUUCACUUUGAUGAACAAAGCAAAGCUGAUAAAAGAAGGGCUGUGACAGAUAACUCAGAAGGGCAAGAUCAAUAUGUUGAGUCCCUCCUAAAUAUGGCAGCAACAAUGUCUUCACAACCUCUCAGACAAAAAGCAGGAAGAGAAUGACAAACACCAUGAGAACAGUGCACUAAGAGAAAGAGUCAGAGAUAGAGGUGUCAAAGCUUUUGAACUGGAAGAGGCACCGAUGCCACAACAAAUUCCAGAGCCAGCCGCUCAUCACAACUCAACAGAAGUGUGCCAGCUCUCUGCCUGACCUACCUUGCUUGACCUACCUCACUGAUGAAUUAGCCAGUGACAUGGGAGGAAACUGAACAGAUGCCAGCAGCUGAAGCCGCCAGAUGGAGAGAAGCUGCAAAAGAGGAGACAUAAGCGCUGCACAAGAAUGAGAUAUGGACCUUGUCCAGGCAAGAAAGCCAUUGGAUGCAAGUGGCUCUUCGAAGUGAAGCACUGCAAGGCAAGAUCUAACACUACAAGGCAAAACUAGUGGCCAAACAAUUUCUGCAGAAGUAUGGAGAAUACUUUGGUAAAACCUUUGCUCUUGCUGUCUUGUUGCCUAUCCUCUCCUCUUUCUCUGGCCAUCCUCUAAGAAGCAGGCGUAGUACUCUCUCCAUGUCUGGAGACUCCAUUUUACCCUUUUCCCUCCUUCUGACUGUAUCUAGAUAUGAAACUGUAAAGAUACUUUUUUCUAUUUUAAAAUGCUUUUAAAGUGCCUGUUACUUCACAGAGAAGUAGCUUUGUGUGUGUCUUUUAGUCUGCUAAAUAAAGGAAUGCUGUAACCAAAUUCAUAGAAACCUUGUUAACAAAAAAUCCUCAACAAAUGGUCUGACACAGUAUAAGGCAGCCUAUGUCCUGUGUACACCAUUGUAAGUACUAUAGAUUCCUAUCUAACAUAUCAUCACUGAUGUGUGUGGGGAGCGGUACAACAGGGUUUCAGCCAAUUUAUGCUACACCUUAGCUCA